AAGGUCUCGUAGGUGACCUGCGGAGGGAUCAUUACACAAAUAUGAAGGCGGGCUGGAACCUCUCGGGGUUACAGCCUUGCUGAAUUAUUCACCCUUGUCUUUUGCGUACUUCUUGUUUCCUUGGUGGGUUCGCCCACCACUAGGACAAACAUAAACCUUUUGUAAUUGCAAUCAGCGUCAGUAACAAAUUAAUAAUUACAACUUUCAACAACGGAUCUCUUGGUUCUGGCAUCGAUGAAGAACGCAGCGAAAUGCGAUAAGUAGUGUGAAUUGCAGAAUUCAGUGAAUCAUCGAAUCUUUGAACGCACAUUGCGCCCUUUGGUAUUCCAAAGGGCAUGCCUGUUCGAGCGUCAUUUGUACCCUCAAGCUUUGCUUGGUGUUGGGCGUCUUGUCUCUAGCUUUGCUGGAGACUCGCCUUAAAGUAAUUGGCAGCCGGCCUACUGGUUUCGGAGCGCAGCACAAGUCGCACUCUCUAUCAGCAAAGGUCUAGCAUCCAUUAAGCCUUUUUUUCAACUUUUGACCUCGGAUCAGGUAGGGAUACCCGCUGAACUUAA
rnacentral:rRNA from 1 species